rnacentral:pre_miRNA from 1 species
UCACCUCCGCAGGCUGCUGGCCCUUCAGGUUGGGCUGAGCGAGGAUCUCUUAGAAAGGCUCACCCUCAAGCACAGCCAGGAGC